CACCGCGGUUAUACGAGAGACCCAAGUUGAUGAAAAACGGCGUAAAGCGUGGUUAAGAAAAUAAAAGAAAUAGGGCCGAACAACCUCAAAGCAGUUAUACGCAUUCGAGGUCACGAAGCACAAUCACGAAAGUGGCCCUACUUAACCCCUGAUUCCACGAAAGCCAUAAAA
rnacentral:rRNA from 1 species